UACGGAGGAUGCAAGCGUUAUCCGGAAUGAUUGGGCGUAAAGCGUCCGCAGGUGGCGAUGUAAGUCUGCUGUUAAAGAGUGAGGCUCAACCUCAUAAGAGCAGUGGAAACUACAUAGCUAGAGUGCGGUAGGGGCAGAGGGAAUUCCUGGUGUAGCGGUGAAAUGCGUAGAGAUCAGGAAGAACACCGGUGGCGAAGGCGGCCCGCUGGGCAGGAAGACACCGCAAGGUGUCGGCUGACGCUGGAGGCGCGACAGCGUGGGGAGCAAACAGG
rnacentral:rRNA from 1 species